rnacentral:rRNA from 1 species
AUGCCAGCAGCCGCGGUAAUACCGGCAGCCCGAGUGAUGGCCGAUCUUAUUGGGCCUAAAGCGUCCGUAGCUGGCUGCGCAAGUCCGUCGGGAAAUCCACUCGCCCAACGAGUGGGCGUCCGACGGAAACUGCACAGCUUGGGACCGGAAGGCUCGAAGGGUACGUUCGGGGUAGGAGUGAAAUCCCAUAAUCCCGCACGGACCACCGAUGGCGAAAGCACUUCGAGAAAACGGAUCCGACAGUGAGGGACGAAAGCCAGGGUCUCCAACCGGAUUAGAUACCCUAUAUCC